GGCGGCGUGCUUAACACAUGCAAGUCGAACGGGAUCCAUCAUGCUUUGCUUGGUGGAGAGAGUGGCGAACGGGUGAGUAAUGCGUGACCGACCUGCCCCAUACACCGGAAUAGCUCCUGGAAACGGGUGGUAAUGCCGGAUGCUCCAGUUGAUCGCAUGGUCUUCUGGGAAAGCUUUCUCGGUAUGGGAUGGGGUCGCGUCCUUAUCAUCUUGACGGGGGGGAUAACGGCCCCCCGUGUCUUCGACGGGUAGCCGGUCUGAGAGGGCGACCGGCCACAUUGGGACUGAGAUACGGCCCAGACUCCUACGGGAGGCAGCAGUGGGGAAUAUUGCACAAUGGGCGCAAGCUUGAUGCAGCGACGCCGCGUGAGGGAUGGAGGCCUUCGGAUUGUAAACCUCUUUUAUCGGGGAGCAAGCGAGAGUGAGUUUACCCGUUGAAUAAGCACCGGCUAACUACGUGCCAGCAGCCGCGGUAAUACGUAGGGUGCAAGCGUUAUCCGGAAUUAUUGGGCGUAAAGGGCUCGUAGGCGGUUCGUCGCGUCCGGUGUGAAAGUCCAUCGCUUAACGGUGGAUCCGCGCCGGGUACGGGCGGGCUUGAGUGCGGUAGGGGAGACUGGAAUUCCCGGUGUAACGGUGGAAUGUGUAGAUAUCGGGAAGAACACCAAUGGCGAAGGCAGGUCUCUGGGCCGUUACUGACGCUGAGGAGCGAAAGCGUGGGGAGCGAACACAAGGAGAUACCCUGGUAGUCCACGCCGUAAAC
rnacentral:rRNA from 1 species